CUCGACCGCCGUGCCGCCCGUGAUGAAUUGUUGUUAUUUAUUAUUGUAUUUACUACUGCUACCAGUAGUGGGUGUUGUAUACUGAUCUUGAAGACGUGUAGCUCCAGCUCCUCUUUGUGUUUAUGUGUCUUGUCCAGCAAUUACGAACCCUCAGCCAGCCAAAGAAGUUAAACUGACUCAAUGAAUCUUUGGUUUAAGGAGGAGGAUGACGGCAGGAGGAAUAUGUUUUAACAAGGAUACAAAAACACUACAGCUGAAUGGUGCCAGGACGAAGCGCAGUCAGACCAGUGAAUAUCAAAACCUGAUGCGGCCCAGACCCUAGCUCCAGUGGCCCCCAGAACUGAGAUCGACUGGGAGGUUAAUUCUCCGCUGCCGUCGACGUUGGCGAGGUCAGCGACGGCUUUCAUCAGACACAAAGCGCUAAUUGUGUCGCCAUUAUUUUAACUUCAAACAUCUGAGUGCCUUGUUGUGGGCGGAACUACUGGACAGGCACAGCUGGUCCUCAUCAUCAUCAUCACCAUCCAUUUUAGGCUCACCUGUGGCAACUGGAUGGCACUCAGUGAUUCCCACUCCAAGCGCUACACUUCAUACCAUGUGCCACAUUCACUUCCUGCUGCCUUGCUACCCGCUAUUGGUCAACCUUCGUGUCAACCAGUCCAGUCUCACGUAAAACAGCGCAGAGCAGUGCAAAUAGAGUUCUUUCUCAAUUGGUCCCUCGGUGUCAUGCUGGAAAGGAUACUUGGACACCAGACAAAGACAAAAAAAAGGAUUUUUUUUUGGAUACAACUUUACUUUCUUGUGGCUGUGCCAUGUUGGAAGAAAGAUGCGGAGUGUGAAGGAGGAGGUUUUCAUCCCUCACUUGUGGUUUCCCAUGGAGUGGCUCUCUCCUUGGUGAGCAAGCCAUAAUUGCUGUCAGUAUAUCCAGAGCUGAGGAGUGAGAAGCAGUUUUUCGGGUCUGUGAGGUGGCUUCCCCCUUUAGGCCUCUGGAGGAUUUUGUGAACGAACCACCUCCCCCAAAAAAUCCAAAGGACGGUACAAAGUCCACAUGGUGACCCACCUGGACGCGGGCCUCGGAGAGUCCGAGGCGCUGGCUGAGCUCCUCCCGCAUGAAGGCGUCCGGGUAGUGGGUCUCAUCGAAGAGCCUCUCCAGCUCGUUGAGCUGCUCCAGCGUGAAGUUAGUGCGACUCCUCCGCUGCUUCAGUUUGCCCUGAGCGUCCUCGUCCUCGGACUUCACCUCCUCCUUCUUGUCCUUGCUACACUCGUAGAUGCCUGACGUUAACAUACAAGUUCGUGCACGUGCUCCUUGAAGACGUGCAGCGGGCAGUGAGCGCCCUCCGUGAAGUCAUGCACGCCUUGCUCGGGGCUGGCCAGCUCCCUCGCCCUGGCCAAGCCGCUCUCCAGAACUUCCCGAUCAUCCGCACGCCUGCCGAAGAUUUGCCGUCUGCUAAUUAAAUAGACAAGAGGCACUCGACGGUGCCAAAUAAGGGGAUGUCUUUUCCCAGGAACUCGCCGACGGCUGUCAGGUGAGCCUUGAAAAGACGUAUACACACAUUGAAAAAAAAAAAAAAUGGAGAUGCCGUCUGACCGGUUAUAGAUGAUGAGGGAAACAAUAAAAAGUCUACCCGUCUGGUAAAUAAAAACUCAGGAAUAUACAUUAGUGUAAAUAUGUGUGUGUUACCGAGGUAAUGACCUCCAUGAUUGAUAAUCGAUGGUGUCCCUCUCCUCUUGUCGUCUUGCUGACCUCAUUAAAGGAUACGGUUACACUCAAACAGCUUUUUAAUUUAGCCUAAUGAUUUUUCUCACAUGCUUUUGUUGAAUUCCAUAUAGGCUCCUCUGGUUAGCUAGCUAAUGUCCUGAUUAAAUGUCUUGCAUGACUAUUCAUUUCAUCUUGAGAAAACUAUUGAUUUUAAAUGAUAAUCUUACACUCCAUGGUCAAAGAAGCUGAGGUCAGAAGGUCAAAUGUGUACCUUUUCCUUGCGUUCUUGGAAACCCUCUAAUGGCUAUAUUGCUCUUAUUGAUUGUUAGAACUCUUUAAAAAAAAAAGAGGAUUUGCU